rnacentral:rRNA from 1 species
AUGGGGGCCGUCGCGGGUCGUCGUCGCGCAAGCGUGCCCGGCAUGACGCAGAGGCCUGCAGCUCCAGGAGGGCCGGCGUUGAGUCAUGGCGCUCCAAGCAGGCGCGCGUGGGAUUGCUUCUUCAAUCUCGACAAGGCGCUUUUCCAACACACAAAGAGUUGUCGGGUGGUGGACGAGGAGCUCCUGGCCGCGCAGAACACGGUGGCUGCCGGAGAAGAUGGCGUCGUCGAACGGCUAUAG